rnacentral:rRNA from 1 species
CCGCACGAAAGGCGUAACGAUUUGGGCACUGUCUCAACGAGAGACUCGGUGAAAUCAUAGUACCUGUGAAGAUGCAGGUUACCCGCGACAGGACGGAAAGACCCCGUGGAGCUUUACUGUAACCUGAUAUUGAAAUUCGGCACAGCUUGUACAGGAUAGGUAGGAGCCUUUGAAACGUGAGCGCUAGCUUACGUGGAGGCGUUGGUGGGAUACUACCCUAGCUGUGUUGGCUUUCUAACCCGC